rnacentral:rRNA from 1 species
UACGUAGGGGCCUAGCGUUGUCCGGAUUUAUUGGGCGUAAAGAGCUCGUAGGCGGUUCGGUAAGUCGGAUGUGAAAUCUCCACGCUUAACGUGGAGGGGCCAUUCGAAACUGCCGUGACUCGAGUCCGGUAGGGGAGUGUGGAAUUCCCGGUGUAGCGGUGAAAUGCGCAGAUAUCGGGAGGAACACCGGUGGCGAAGGCGGUUCUCUGGGCCUGACCUGACGCUGAGGAGCGAAAGCGUGGGGAGCGAACAGG